ACGUUUCGCAGGACCCUUACAUUUGGUGCGUUGGCCGGGAAAAGCACAUCGCCGGACAAGGAGACCUCCAACGGACUCCUUUAGGGGCUUCUGCUUAGGCACUACCGGCCUCUGACGACCGAUGAACCCCCAGCAUCUUCAAGAGAACAGUUCACUCAGUGCUGAAGCUCACUACCAGGCACGAUGGAAUGCAACGGACAUCAGACAAUGGGAGACAACAAGUUCGGAGAAUCUCAUAAUCUGCCAUCCUGGAUUCAUGAGUCUUCAUGUCCUUCUAAGCUUCCUCAUGGCUCUUGGUCUCUUUUCUGUCAGUCCCCCAGCAUGGAACUUCUGCCAAAAAUUGACCUUUGCUUUAAUCUUUAUCUUCAUUCUGUUUUUAUUUGCUCUGAUUUUCUUCAGGUGCUGGUAACGCCAACUUGGCACCUAUCUGGAAGAACUUACUAAUAAAUGGGUUGCCUGCCACUUAUCUAA